GACAGUUUGUCCGAGUGGUUAAGGAGUUAGACUUGAAAUCUAAUAGGCUCUGCCUGCGCAGGUUCAAACCCUGCAGCUGUCG
rfam:Anaeromyces robustus strain S4 BCR32scaffold_611, whole genome shotgun sequence.